rnacentral:rRNA from 1 species
CCUACGGGCGGCUGCAGUGGGGAAUAUUGGGCAAUGGGCGCAAGCCUGACCCAGCAACGCCGCGUGAAGGAAGAAGGCUUUCGGGUUGUAAACUUCUUUUCUGAGGGACGAAGAAAGUGACGGUACCUCAGGAAUAAGCCACGGCUAACUACGUGCCAGCAGCCGCGGUAAUACGGAGGUGGCAAGCGUUAUCCGGAUUUAUGGGGUGUAAAGGGCGUGUAGGCGGUAAGGCAAGUCAGAUGUGAAAAGUCAGGGCUCAACCCUGAGCCUGCAUUUGAAACUGUUUUUCUUGAGUUUUGGAGAGGCAAGCGGAAUUCCGGGUGUAGCGGUGAAAUGCGUAGAUAUACGGAGGAACACCAGUGGCGAAGGCGGAUUGCUGGACAGUAACUGACGCUGAGGCGCGAAAGCGUGGGGAGCAAACAGGAUUAGAUACCCGAGUAGUC